UUGAAAGGGAAACGAUUGAAGUCAGUCGUACCAGCGGGAAUCAACCUUUCGAGUGGGGGUUUGGAGUUUUGAAGAGUGUCAAAACCUUUGAGAUUUCAAAAUUUUCGCUCUUUUGGUGUACUUUCUCGUGGGUAGGUUAACAUCGAUUUUGAUCAUCAUAAAAAGAUUGGAGGAAUGUAGCUUCGAUCUUGUAUUGAAGUGUUAUAGCCUUUGGUAAAUGUGAUGAUUAGGAUCGAGGAUUGCAACGAAUACCCUUUUGGGCUAUCCGCCUGAUCUCUGAUACGUGGCCUUGGUAUCGAAAGCUUGCUUAUGGUAUUAAGGUAUUACGGUCAAAAGGUUAGAACGGAUUACAUUCGUUAAGGAUGUUGACGUA
rnacentral:rRNA from 1 species